UUCUUCGGGGCGGGGUGCGAUUCCCCACCGGCGGUAUAGUCCGCGAGCCUUUGGGUUGAUUUGGUGCAAUUCCAAAACCGACAGUAAAGUCUGGAUGAGAGAAGA
rnacentral:ncRNA from 1 species